UACGUAGGUGGCAAGCGUUAAUCGGAAUUACUGGGCGUAAAGCGUGCGCAGGCGGUUUUGUAAGUUUGUCGUGAAAUCCCCGGGCUUAACCUGGGAAUUGCGAUGAAGACUGCAAGGCUAGAAUCUGGCAGAGGGGGGUAGAAUUCCACGUGUAGCAGUGAAAUGCGUAGAGAUGUGGAGGAACACAGAUGGCGAAGGCAGCCCCCUGGGUCAAGAUUGACGCUCAUGCAUG
rnacentral:rRNA from 1 species